rnacentral:rRNA from 1 species
AACCUUUAGACAAACAAAUAUUAAAGGCAACGCCUGCCCAGUGAAUAAUUAAACGGCCGCGGUACCCUAACCGUGCAAAGGUAGCGUAAUCAUUUGUCUACUAAUUAUAGACCAGUAUGAAAGACGAAAUGAGGGUCUAACUGUCUCUUAUAAUAAAUCAAUGAAACUGAUCUCCCAGUAAAAAAGCUGGAAUUACCCCAUAAGACCAGAAGACCCUGUGAAGCUUAAACUAAACUAUUAAAACACAUAAUAGCUACUUUCGGUUGGGGCGACCUUGGAAAAAAAAAGAACUUCCAAACACCAUGAGCCAUACCUCACACAACCAGGCCCACAAGCCAAUAAACGACCCAGCACAGCUGAAAAAUGAACCAAGUUACUCCAGGGAUAACAGCGCAAUCUUCUUCAAGAGCCCAUAUCAAAAAGAAGGUUUACGACCUCGAUGUUGGAUCAGGACAUCCUAAUGGUGCAGCCGCUAUUAAGGGUUCGUUUGUUCAACGAUUAACAGUCCU